rnacentral:rRNA from 1 species
GUAGGGUGCAAGCGUUAAUCGGAAUUACUGGGCGUAAAGCGUGCGCAGGCGGCUUUGCAAGACAGAUGUGAAAUCCCCGGGCUUAACCUGGGAACUGCAUUUGUGACUACAUGGCUGGAGUGCGGCAGAGGGGGAUGGAAUUCCGCGUGUAGCAGUGAAAUGCGUAGAUAUGCGGAGGAACACCGAUGGCGAAGGCAAUCCCCUGGGCCUGCACUGACGCUCAUGCACGAAAGCGUGGGGAGCAAACAGGAUUAGAUACCCUGGUAGUCCACGCCCUAAACGAUGUCAACUGGUUGUUGGACGGCUUGCUGUUCAGUAACGAAGCUAACGCGUGAAGUUGACCGCCUGGGGAGUACGGCCGCAAGGUUG